AAAAGAUAUAGCCCUGCCUCCAGCAAGGUUAGCGGUCACGCAGAUGUGCAAACGCACGUUUUAGAGUCAGGUGAUCCCUGUCCAUCAAUGAAUGAUGGGGAAGGGCUAUAAAAGCCAAUUUCUUUAUUUCUUCUUUGCCCUGUCGUGGUUUCCACUUCUUUGGUUAUCUGAGAGCGCGUUUAUUAUUCCUGGUUUUUGAUCUUGGCUUACUCUGACUAUCCGUAUUUCUGGUAUCCCUGACCCUUUGACUUUGUCUUCUCGUUUAUGCUCCUGUCAGUGUCCCUGACUUCGGCUUGAUUCUGACUAUUCUUUCUACGUUAAAUCCGACCAUUCUAGGGCACGGUAAUACGUUUUUCCAGUUGUCUUGAUUCUGCGUGUUGGGCCACAGCCCACACCUGACAAAAGGGCUGGACAGAACCAUACCUGCCUUUCGGUGCAACCGCAGCGGAUGUCAAGGAUACCAAACAGAUGUGGGACAUUUAGAUUUGUUUGGCUUUGUUCAGGCCAAACCCUCC